AUUGAACGCUAGCGGGAUGCUUUACACAUGCAAGUCGAACGAGCGGCGGACGGGUGAGUAAUAUAUCGGAACGGGACCAGUAGAGGGGGAUAACUACUCGAAAGAGUGGCUAAUACUGCAUACGACUGGAGGGGCCGAUAUCGGAUUAGCUAGUUGGGGGGGUAAAGGCUCACCAAGGCAACGAUCCGUAGCUGGUUUGAUAGGACGACCAGCCACACUGGAACUGAGACACGGCCCAGACUCCUACGGGAUGCAGCAGUGGGGAAUUUUGGACAAUGGGGGAAACCCUGAUCCAGCCAUCCCGCGUGUAUGAGAAGGCCUUCGGGUUGUAAAGUCCUUUUGGCAGAGAAGCGGUAUCUGCAGAAUAAGCACCGGCGAACUACGUGCCAGCAGCCGCGGUAAUUC
rnacentral:rRNA from 1 species